AAGGAUCAUUACCGAGUUCAUGCCCUCACGGGUAGAUCUCCCACCCUUUGUAUACUAUACCUUUGUUGCUUUGGCGGGCCGCCUAGCUACUGGCUUCGGCUGGUAAGUGCCCGCCAGAGGACCCAAAACCCUGAAUAUUAGUGUCGUCUGAGUAAAAUUUUAAUAUUUAAAACUUUCAACAACGGAUCUCUUGGCUCUGGCAUCGAUGAAGAACGCAGCGAAAUGCGAUAAGUAAUGUGAAUUGCAGAAUUCAGUGAAUCAUCGAAUCUUUGAACGCACAUUGCGCCCCUUGGUAUUCCGAGGGGCAUGCCUAUUCGAGCGUCAUUAUCACCCCUCAAGCUUCGGCUUGGUGUUGAGGCCUGCUGUAAAGGCACCCUCUAAAAUCAGUGGCAGUGCUGUCAGGCUCUAAGCGUAGUAAUUUCAUCGCUAUAGGGUCCUGGUGGAUACUCGUCAGAACCCCCCCAUUUUUUAAUGAUUGACCUCGGAUUAGGUAGGGAUACCCGCUGAACUUAA
rnacentral:rRNA from 1 species